rnacentral:sRNA from 1 species
AUAUGUGAGGGUGAUCCAGAUGUGAUGUCUCAAGGGUUAACUCAAGUGACCUGGAUGCUAGACUGGUGUAUCCUCUCUCUUCCACUAUCCCUCUCCAUUGCAUCUGUAUCCUUUCCAGAUCUUCAAGGUGGGCUGAGAAAGAAGAGCUCUCGCCAUUAGAGGAAGAAGGAGCAUUCUUCAGGCUAGGUGCAUGAGGAGCUGCUCUCCACUCUCAGAGCCUCCAGACAAGCUUCUAGAAAACUGCUUGGCCAUAGCAGCUAUGAUUCUGCAAUCCCACUCUCAGAUACAUAUGA